rnacentral:lncRNA from 1 species
CCGUGAAGACGGUGGAGGAGGCGAUGAGGGUCAAAGAGAAAAAAAUAACGAAGGAAAAAAAAGAAGAGAAGAGAGAGAAACAAAGAAGAGAGAGAAAGAAAAAGAAUAAAAGUAUUUGCAUCCGAUGGCGGAAAAUCCGGCCCGAAUUUGCAAAAUUGAAAAAGGCGACCCGGUUUUGCAAAAGCUCAAAAUUUGUGGAUUUUUUAUGCAAAUUGGCCUUUAGAGAU